UACGGAGGAUCCAAGCGUUAUCCGGAAUCAUUGGGUUUAAAGGGUCCGUAGGCGGUCUUAUAAGUCAGUGGUGAAAUCUCCCCGCUCAACGGGGAAACGGCCAUUGAUACUGUAGGACUUGAAUUAUUAGGAAGUAACUAGAAUAUGUAGUGUAGCGGUGAAAUGCUUAGAUAUUACAUGGAAUACCAAUUGCGAAGGCAGGUGGCUACGCUUCGUCUGACACUGAGGCACGAAAGCGUGGGGAGCGAACAGG
rnacentral:rRNA from 1 species